rnacentral:rRNA from 1 species
UACGUAGGGUGCAAGCGUUGUCCGGAAUUAUUGGGCGUAAAGAGCUCGUAGGCGGUUCGUCGCGUCGGCUGUGAAAUCCCGAGGCUCAACCUCGGGUCUGCAGUCGAUACGGGCGGACUGGAGUUCGGCAGGGGAGACUGGAAUUCCUGGUGUAGCGGUGAAAUGCGCAGAUAUCAGGAGGAACACCGGUGGCGAAGGCGGGUCUCUGGACCGCAACUGACGCUGAGGCGCGAAAGCGUGGGGAGCAAACAGG